AUUGAACGCUGGCGGCAGGCCUAACACAUGCAAGUCGAACGGAGUGGCGGACGGGUGAGUAAUGUAUGGGAAACUGCCCGAUGGAGGGGGAUAACUACUGGAAACGGUAGCUAAUACCGCAUACUAUCAGAUGAGCCUAGGUCAGAUUAGCUAGUUGGUGGGGUAAAGGCCCACCAAGGCGACGAUCCGUAACUGGUCUGAGAGGAUGAUCAGUCACACUGGGACUGAGACACGGUCCAGACUCCUACGGGAGGCAGCAGUGGGGAAUAUUGGACAAUGGGCGAAAGCCUGAUCCAGCCAUCCCGCGUGUGUGAAGAAGGUCUUCGGAUUGUAAAGCACUUUUAGUUGGGAGGCGUUACCUACAGAAUAAGCACCGGCUAACUUCGUGCCAGCAGCCGCGGUAAUUC
rnacentral:rRNA from 1 species